rnacentral:rRNA from 1 species
AGCAGCCGCGGUAAUUCCAGCUCCAAUAGCGUAUAUUAAAGUUGUUGCAGUUAAAAAGCUCGUAGUUGAAUUUCGGGAUUAAUAUGUUGGUCGUGCCUUGGUACGUACUGGCAUUAUUGAUUCCUACCUUCUGAAGAACCUCGAUGUCAUUAAUUUGGUGUCUUGGGGAAUCAGGACCGUUACUUUGAAAAAAUUAGAGUGUUUAAAGCAGGCUCGCGCUUGAAUACAUUAGCAUGGAAUAAUGAAAUAGGACGUUUGAUUCUAUUUUGUUGGUUUCUAGGAUCGACGUAAUGAUUAAUAGGGAUAGUUGGGGGCAUUGGUAUUCAAUUGUCAGAGGUGAAAUUCUUGGAUUUAUUGAAGACUGACUACUGCGAAAGCAUUUGCCAAGGAUGUUUUCAUUAAUCAAGAACGAAAGUUAGGGGAUCGAAGACGAUCAGAUACCGUCGUAGUCUUAACCAUAAACUAUGCCGACUAGGGAUCGGAUGAUGUUAAUUUUUUAAUGACUCAUUCGGCGCCUUAC